rnacentral:hammerhead_ribozyme from 1 species
AUCCAGCUGACGAGUCCCAUAUAGGACGAUACGCACAUCCUAAAU